GUGUAUUGCUACAUCAAGCUUUUCUUGUUUAAACAAUGCUCAGUCUAUGGGUAGUGAGAGAAGACAUAUCGGAAGACUUAAUAAGGCGGAGUGGGAGGUGAGAGUAGACACCUAGGAAGAUUCAGCGUACGUUUACCAUCGGAUAUAAUGCUCUUGCAUGUCUGUACAGCACUUCUAGUGUGGUGUGCAGUGUUGGUGCCUGAGAUCCAGGGAGCUGGUUUACAUCGCGCAUUUCAUUUGGAUGUGUCGAUUUCUCCCCAACAGCUCACAGCGAGCCCUGGAGAGAAUGUCAGCUUCUCCUGUCAUUUCGGCAUGAGAGAAGGCACACAUGACGGUGUUCAACAGAUAAAGAGGGAAACAGCCAACAAGAACCUUGAACAUGGAGAUAAUGUGUUUGGGCAAGAAAAACAAACUGGUGAUGACGUUGAUGAUGAAAUCUCAGAACAAAAACUGCAAAGGAAGAGAAAAAAGACAAGAAUAAAAAGGAGUUCUGCAGGGGAUAUCAUCAUUUUAUGGUCACACAAGACAAACGAUGGAAAUGAAACGAGAGUUUUGAGCUAUGACGAAGGUUGGAGCAACCACAGUGGCAUUUGGCGUUCGGGCCAGGUCCAUAAAGGCCAAAUUGCCAUCCAUUUUGUAGCAUCUGCAGAUAUGACAGGGGUGUUCAAAUGUCGUGUGCUCCGUGCUUCUUUGUCCGACAUGAAAGAAGGAUUCGCGGAGGCGAUGCUCAACAUUGAUAAAGGUAAGGCCUACUCAUGGACAUGUAUAGCCAGGCACCAGAAUACUAACCGAAAUAUCUCCAGUAUUCAAAAGUCUCAAGCAAAUGCAACUGUACAUUAUUCUUAUUCUUCUUCAUCAAAUGUGUUACAGAGAUGAGCUCCACUGAGAUGAGCUCCACUGAGAGAAGCACAAGUGAUAUACCAUUUACCAGCAUCAGAAACAUUUAUACAGUGCUUCCUACUCUUCAUUCCUCGGCCCCUUGGCAGUUGAAUUUGACAGUCAUUGUGAUCAGCAUGUUGGCAGCUAUUCUGGCAAUCCAUUGAAGUUUCUCAUUCAGGAAGCACCAUCAAGGAUUUCAUGACACUGAUACACUACAUGGCAAAAGUAUGUGGACACCCCUUCAAAUUAGUUGAUUUGGCUAUUUCAGCCACACCCAUUGCUAAAAGGUGUAUAAAAUCAAGCACACAGCCAUGCAAUCUCCAUGGACAAACAUUGGCAACAGAAUGGGCCAUACUGAAGAGCUCAGUGAUUUUCAACGAGGCACUGUCAUAGGAUGCCACCUUUCCAACAAGUUAGUUCAUCAAAUUUCUGCCCUGCUCGAGCUGCCUCGGUCAACUGUUAGUGCUGAUGUUGUGAAGUGGAUAUUUUAAGAAAUAAAAAAAAAGCUGGCUGAUAUCAAACCUUUGUCCUGUAUCCCCUUUUGCUUGCUGUUCUAUCUCUGUAAAUCUGUGAUAAAGCAUUUAAGACAACCUAUACCAAUGUAGUCGUUGAGGGAACUCCAGAUCGGGGAACCACAACCAAACACUAUUCUUUUCAAAGUGGGACUCCAACUGUAUUCCAGUUAUGAAAUGCCAAACCAAGCCAAAAUGGUGGACAACCCAGAAUGGAAACAGCAUUAUUUUUGGCCGUAUCUCUCAAUGGUGAAGAAUAACUUUAAAAUUUUUAUAGUAUCUGGAUCUUCAACAAAAUCGAAUCAAUUGCUCCUCUGUCACACACCCAUCCUGUCCACCAAGUUUCAUCCAAAUCCGUCGAUUUCUUGGCCACUGAUAAGUCAAUGGUCGUAUUUGCAGCAAGUGGAGAGAAAAUACUGCAGAGCAGAGAAAAUAUUAAUUGUGAAGUUUGAGGCUAAGAUUACCAUUGGAAAAUUAGAUGAACAUUCAAAUAGGCCCAUCAUGAGGGUACACUGUGCUCCAGCCUUGUGGAUUAUUUUGCCCCACGAAAAGCAUCGACAUAAAUUGUCAUGACAACAACUGGAAGAACCACAACAAUAUGUUCAAGGGCAAUUCCGUAAACUGUCGUACAGGACAUUUAGUGAUAUUUUCGAUCCCAAAGUAUAAAAACUUGACAUGAAAUCUGGCAUCCAGCAGUAAUAAUAAAAAGUCUGUGAGUUUACUGACCUUUGAAAAUUGUAUUGACAUUUGUUGGACAAGUGGUCUGCCUCAUCAAAACAUGAACUGAAGUUAUCAUUUCAUCGAUAAUAAAUUAGAGGGGUAAGUUUUUGACACCUGUCUUACAGGACAGUUUUCACCUUAUCAAUAUUUGUCCGCUUUGAGGCGAUAAAAUCAGUUAUUUUUGUUUAAAACAUGUAAUAAACUUGAUAUAGAAUGUAACAUGGUG
ensembl:lincRNA